rnacentral:rRNA from 1 species
GUCAACGGCCAUACCAUGCUGAAAGUACCGGUUCUCGUCCGAUCACCGAAGUCAAGACCCCUUAUCCAAUUCCUGCUUCUUCUAAUCUUUAACUUUUCUGUCUACUGUACUUUGCUAUUGUUUACCCUUAAUUAUCUCAGUCUCUCUUAAUUAUGUUGUGGAGGUAAUUGCAUUUAAUUGCAAAGGUACUCCGGAAGUCAACGCCUUGGGCCUUGGGCCGAAGUCAAGCAGCAUCGGGCGCGGUCAGUACUUGGGAGGGUGACCACCUGGAAACACCGCGUGCUGUUGGCA